rnacentral:rRNA from 1 species
GAUGAACGCUAGCUACAGGCUUAACACAUGCAAGUCGAGGGGCAGCGGUAUCGAAAGCUUGCUUUCGGUAGCCGGCGACCGGCGCACGGGUGAGUAACGCGUAUCGAACCUGCCUCAUACUCGGGAAUAGCCUUGCGAAAGUAGGAUUAAUGCCCGGUGUUUUCAGAGUCCCGCAUGAGGCUUUGAACAAAGAUUUAUCGGUAUGAGAUGGCGAUGCGUCCCAUUAGCUUGUUGGCGGGGUAACGGCCCACCAAGGCAUCGAUGGGUAGGGGUUCUGAGAGGAAGGUCCCCCACAUUGGAACUGAGACACGGUCCAAACUCCUACGGGAGGCAGCAGUGAGGAAUAUUGGUCAAUGGGCGGAAGCCUGAACCAGCCAAGUAGCGUGCAGGAAGACGGCCCUCCGGGUUGUAAACUGCUUUUAGUUGGGAAUAAAACGGGGCUCGUGAGCCCCCUUGCAUGUACCAUCAGAAAAAGGACCGGCUAAUUCCGUG